GACCCAAGUUGCAACCUACAAUAGCGAAGCAUUGUGAGGCACUUCAAGUUGCAGUGCAAGUGGUGACACUCAGUGAUCUGGACUCCACCCUGGAAUGUCAUACCCCCUGAAACACCUGGCAUUGGCCGCUGUCAGAAGACAGGAUACUGGGCUAGAUGGAUCAUUGGUCUGACCCAGCAUGGCCGUUCUUAUGUAGUCAUGAUACAGUUCUGCGGUGACCUGGAAUCCUACUUUCGCCAUCUCCGACUCAAGGAAUAUUUCCACAACACCACUGAACAGCACACUAACCCACAGAAAACUUGCUACAAGAUGAAGGAUUCUGCAUGGACUCCUCCUGAUGGUUGAAACAACAGACUGGACUUCUACAUAGAGUGCUUCCGCCGAAGUGCAUGAGCUGAAAUUGUGGAAAAGCAGCAUCACUUGCCCCAUAACCUCAGCCGUGCAGAACACAACGCCAUCCACAGCCUCAGAAACAAUUCUGACACUAUAAUCAAAAAAGCUGACAAAGGAGGUGCUGUAGUCAUCAUGAUUAGGUCAGAGUAUGAACGAGAGGCUGCUAGACAACUCUCUCUGACACCACAUUCUACAGGCCAUUACCUUCAGAUCCCACUGAGGGGUACCAAAAGAAACUACACCAUCUGCUCAAGAAACUCCUUGAAGAAGCACAGGAACAAAUCUACACAGACACACCCCCUAGAGCCCCGACCAGAGGUAUUCUAUCUGCUACCCAAGAUCCAUAAACCUGGGAAUCCUGGACGCCCCAUCAUCUCAGGCAUUGGCAUCCUGACAGCAGGAUUAUCUGGCUAUGUGGACUCUCUCCUCAGGCCCUACGCUACCAGCACUCCCAGCUAUCUUCGAGACACCACUGACUUCCUGAGGAAACUACAAUCCAUUGGUGGUCUUCCAGAAAACACCCUCCUAGUCACUAUGGAUGUAUAAGUUCUCUACACCAACAUUCCACACAAAGAUGGACUACAAGCCAUCAGGAACAGUAUCCCUGAUAAUGUUACCGCAAACCUGAUGGCUGAGCUUUGUGACUUUGUCCUCACCCACAACUAUUUCACAUUUGGGGACGAUUGAUACCUUCAAGUCAGCUGCACUGCUAUGGGUACCCGCAUGGCACCUCAAUAUGCCAACAUUUUUAUGGCUGACUUAGAACAACGCUUCCUCAGCUCUCGUCCCCUAGCGCCCCUACUCUACUUGAGCUACAUUGAUGACAUCUUCAUCAUCUGGACCCACGGGAAGGAGGCCCUUGAGGAAUUCUACCUGGAUUUCAACAAUUUCCACCCCACGAUCAACCUCAGCCUGGACCAGUCCACACAAGAGAUCUACUUCCUGGACACUAUAGUACAAAUAAAUGAUGGUCACAUAAACACCACCCUGUACCAGAAACCUACUGACUGAUAUACUUGCCUACAUGUCUCCAGCUUUCAUCCAGACCACAUCACACAAUCCAUUGUCUACAGCCAAGCCCUAAGAUACAACCACAUUUGCUCCAAUCCCUCAGACAGAGACAAACACCUACAGGAUCUCUAUCAAGCGUUCUUAAAACUACAAUACCCAUCUGGGGAAGUGAAGAAACAGAUUGACAGAGCCAGAAAGGUACCCAGAAGUCACCUACUACAGGACAGGCCCAACAAAGAAAGUAACAAUGCCACUAGCUAUCACCGUCAGCCCCCAACUAAAACCUCUUCAGCACAUCAUCAAGGAUCUACAACCUAUCCUGAAGGACGAUCCCUCACUUUCACAGACCUUGGGAGGCAGGCCAGUCCUCACUUACAGACAGCCUCCCAACCCGAAGCAAAUACUCACCAGCAACUACACACCACACAACAGAAACACUAACCCAGGAACCAACCCAUGCAACAAACCCCGUUGCCAAUUCUGUCCACAUAUCUAUUCAAGGGACAUCAUCAUAGGGCCUAACCACAUCAGCCACACCAUCAAGGGCUCAUUCACCUGCACAUCUACCAAUGUGAUAUAUGCCAUCGUGUGCCAGCAAUGCCCCUCUGCCAUGUACAUUAGCCAAGCCAGACAGUCUCCACGCAAAAGAAUAAAUGGACACAAAUCAGACAUCAAGAAUUGUAACAUUCAAAAACCAGUAGAAGAGCACUUCUAUCUGCCUGGAUACUCAAUAACAGACUUAAAAGUCACCAUUCUUCAACAAAAAAAUUCCAAACCAGACUUCAAUGAGAAACUGCAGAGCUGGAAUUAAUUUGCAAACUUGACACCAUUAAAUUAGGCCUGAAUAAAGACUGGGAGUGGCUGGGUCACUAUAAAAAAUAAUUUUCCCUCUGUUGAUAUUCACCCCUUCUUGUCAACUGUUGGGAAUGGGCCACAUCCACCCUAAUUGAAUUGGCCUCGUUAGCACUGACCCCCCACUUGGUAAGACAACUCCCAUGUUUUCAUGUGCUGUAUAUUUAUACCUGCUUACUGUAUUUUCCACUCCAUGCAUCUGAUGAAGUGGGUUAUAGCCCAUGAAAGCUUAUGCCCAAAUAAAUUUGUUAGCCUCUACGGU